rnacentral:rRNA from 1 species
GGAUGAACGCUAGCGGCAGGCUUAAUACAUGCAAGUCGAGGGGCAGCACGAAUAGCAAUAUUUGGUGGCGACCGGCGCACGGGUGCGUAACACGUAUACAACCUACCUAUAACAGGGGGAUAGCCUUUCGAAAGAGAGAUUAAUACCCCGUAAUAAAUUGAAUGGCAUCAUUUGAUUUUGAAAGCUACGGCGGUUAUAGAUGGGUAUGCGUCUGAUUAGCUAGUUGGUGAGGUAAUGGCUCACCAAGGCGACGAUCAGUAGGGGAUCUGAGAGGACUAACCCCCACACUGGUACUGAGACACGGACCAGACUCCUACGGGAGGCAGCAGUAAGGAAUAUUGGUCAAUGGAGGCAACUCUGAACCAGCCAUGCCGCGUGCAGGAUGACGGCCCUAUGGGUUGUAAACUGCUUUUGUACCAGAGAAAACCUAUCUACGUGUAGAUAGCUGAUAGUAUGGUAAGAAUAAGCAUCGGCUAACUUCGUG